AGAGUUUGAUCCUGGCUCAGAGCGAACGCUGGCGGCGUACUUAACACAUGCAAGUCGUACGAGGAUCGUCGGGUUAGCAAUAAUUCGGCGGUUCGAGUGGCGCACGGGUGAGUAACACGUGGGUAACCCACCCUUGAGACCGGGAUACCCUCUCGAAAGGGAGGCUAAUACUGGAUACGUUCCCUGGGACGCAAGAUCUGGGGAGGAAAGGUGGCGAAAGCUGCCGCUCUUGGAGGGGCUCGCGGCCUAUCAGCUAGUUGGUGAGGUAACGGCUCACCAAGGCUAUGACGGGUAGCUGGUCUGAGAGGACGACCAGCCACACGGGAACUGAGACACGGUCCCGACUCCUACGGGAGGCAGCAGUGGGGAAUUUUCCGCAAUGGGCGAAAGCCUGACGGAGUGACGCCGCGUGGGGGACGAAGGCCUUCGGGUCGUAAACCCCUGUCAGAGGGAAAGAAGGGUGUCGGCGUGAAUAGCGCCGGCAUUUGACGGUACCUUCAGAGGAAGCCCCGGCCAACUCUGUGCCAGCAGCCGCGGUA
rnacentral:rRNA from 1 species